GAUGAACGCUGGCGGCGUGCCUAAUACAUGCCAGUCGAGCGAACGGACGAGAAGCUUGCUUCUCUGAUGUUAGCGGCGGACGGGUGAGUAACACGUGGAUAACCUACCUAUAAGACUGGGAUAACUUCGGGAAACCGGAGCUAAUACCGGAUAAUAUUUUGAACCGCAUGGUUCAAAAGUGAAAGACGGUCUUGCUGUCACUUAUAGAUGGAUCCGCGCUGCAUUAGCUAGUUGGUAAGGUAACGGCUUACCAAGGCAACGAUGCAUAGCCGACCUGAGAGGGUGAUCGGCCACACUGGAACUGAGACACGGUCCAGACUCCUACGGGGGGCAGCAGUAGGGAAUCUUCCGCAAUGGGCGAAAGCCUGACGGAGCAACGCCGCGUGAGUGAUGAAGGUCUUCGGAUCGUAAAACUCUGUUAUUAGGGAAGAACAUAUGUGUAAGUAACUGUGCACAUCUUGACGGUACCUAAUCAGAAAGCCACGGCUAACUACGUG
rnacentral:rRNA from 1 species